rnacentral:rRNA from 1 species
UACGAAGGGAGCUAGCGUUGCUCGGAAUCACUGGGCGUAAAGAGCACGUAGGCGGAUCUUUAAGUCAGGGGUGAAAUCCCAAGGCUCAACCUUGGAACUGCCUUUGAUACUGGGGAUCUCGAGUCCGGAAGAGGUGAGUGGAACUGCGAGUGUAGAGGUGAAAUUCGUAGAUAUUCGCAAGAACACCAGUGGCGAAGGCGGCUCACUGGUCCGGUACUGACGCUGAGGUGCGAAAGCGUGGGGAGCAAACAGG